GAAAAACGUAAAAAACAAAAAACAAAAAACAAAGACGAGACAACAUAAACGAAGACUGCUAGAACAGAGAAAAACGCAACAGCGUCUCAUUCAAAGAAUCGAUCAUAUCUCAUCGGGACUCUUAUUAUCAGCUCUUCUUCUAUUAUCUCCUCUAGAAUCGGCUUUUCUUGGAUUCAUUGGUAAUCUGGGGGAAGCUGAUUUCAUAGGAUGGAGAAGCCGCCGCUAAACUUGUUGAAGAAUGGGAGUGAGCGAUCGGAGGGGUCAAGUGGGAGUGGAGGAGAAGAGAAAGGAAGAUUCGAGUAUUUCGGGUGGGUUUACCAUCUGGGUGUCAAUUCGAUUGGCCGCGAGUACUGUCACCUGCGCUUUCUAUUCAUUCGGGGCAAGUAUAUCGAGAUGUACAAGCGUGAUCCUCACCAAAGUCCUGGCAUUAAACCCAUUAGGAGGGGUGUUGUAGGGCCCACACUUAUGGUGGAGGAGCUAGGGCGUCGAAAAGUCAAUCAUGGAGAUUUUUAUGUUAUAAGGUUUUGCAAUCGGUUGGAUGAGAUGAAAAAGGGAGAAAUUGCUUGCAGCUCGGCUGCAGACGCUCGAAAAUGGAUGGAGGCAUUUGAUCAGGCCAAGCAACAGGCUGAGUAUGAGAUUUCAAGAGGAGGUAGUACCAGAAACAAACUUAACAUGGAGACAGAGAUCAACUUGGAAGGACAUCGACCUAGAAUGAGGCGGUAUGCGCAUGGGUUGAAAGAGCUUAUAAGAAUUGGGCAAGGUCCAGAGACACUUUUGCGUCAAUCGUCGAACUUGGGUGCUGGUAGGCCAGAUGGGUACAUUGAAGGGGACACUGGAGAUGCAAUUGAGGCAAAUGAAUGGAAAUGUGUGCGGACAAUUAAUGGUGUUAGAAUCUUUGAAGAUGUUUCUGACUCCCAGAGCGGUAAAGGUGUUCUUGUGAAGUCAGUUGGUGUUGUUGAUGCAACUGCAGAUACUGUUUUUGAAGCGAUCUUAAACAUUGCGCGACACCAAAGAUACGAGUGGGAUAUGUUGACAGGUGACUUGGAGUUGAUAGAUUCUAUUGACGGGCACUAUGAUGUUGUCUAUGGGAUAUAUGAUCCAAAAUUUCUUACUCGGUGGCAUUCUAAGAGAGAUUUUGUCUUCUCUAGGCAAUGGUUUCGUGGACAAGAUGGAACAUAUACAAUCUUGCAACGUCCAGCUGUACAUAAAAAGAAGCCUCCAAGAUCUGGUUAUCGACGUACAAAAAUCAACCCAUCUACCUGGGAGAUCAGAAGUUUAAACACACCCAUUGCUUCAAAUGCUCCAAGAUGUCUUGUGACUCAAAUGUUCGAGAUGGAUUCUUCAGGCUGGUGUAGAUGGACGAAAAGCCACUGCUCAAAGUUUGAAAACAGUAUUCCUUACGCGCUAUUGUGCCAAGUGGCAGGUCUAAGAGAAUAUAUUGGAGCAAAUCCAGCUCUCAGUUUGGAAUCUGCCACCACAGUUUUCCAUUCAAAAAUCUCUGAUGUUUCUGUGCCCAGUGGUGAAUAUGAGGAUGCAGAAGUGCAGGAUGAGUUUUAUGAUGCCAUUGCUGCUGACUCAUCAUCAUCCUCAGAAGAUGAAGAAAGCGACAGUGAUGAACAUGACAAUAAGGGAUCAAAAGUGAAGCUGAAGAAUGUCUCAUGGGCCAUCGCAGGCUUAGCUUUGAAGCGAACUUCAGCUCCAGAUGCAAAUAAGGAACUAGACCGUACUGUAACUCCUAUCAGCAUUGAUCCAACCCAGUGUCAUGGUUCCUUGCACAAAGCAAAGGAUGGCGCAGACACAAACUGUUGGGCUUCUCCAAGUGGUACGGGAUUUAUGAUCAGAGGAAAAACUUACCUAAAAGAUAAUUCUAAGGUAAUGGGAGGAGAUCCCCUUCUCAAGCUCAUUGCAGUUGAUUGGUUCAAAGUGGACAAAUCCAUAGAUAGGAUUGCAUUGCAUCCCAGGUCUCUUGUUCAGUCAGGAGUUGGGAAGAAGCUUCCAUUCAUCCUUGUCAUUAACCUCCAGGUCCCUGCUAAACCAAACUACAGUUUGGUCCUUUACUAUGCUGCAGACAGACCACUAAAUAAAAGUUCUUUGCUGGCUAAGUUUGUGGAUGGAAGUGACAUGUUUCGGGAUGCCAGAUUUAAACUAAUUCCUAGUAUUGUUGAGUACAGGGGUAUUGGAUGGUCAAGCGUGCAGUCGGAACAAAAGCUUGCUUAUUGGGGAAAGCUGUAACCUGCAAAUACUUCAGACAAGACAACUUUUUGGAGAUUGAUGUGGAUAUUGGAUCAUCCUCUGUAGCAAGGAGUGUCAUCGGCCUUGUUCUUGGAUAUGUCACAAGCAUAGUUGUCGACCUUGCCAUUUUGAUAGAGGCAAAAGAAGAGGCAGAGUUGCCUGAGUACAUUCUCGGUACUGUUCGGCUAAAUCGUUUGAGGCCAGACUCUGCUGUAAAUUUGGAGGUUUGAGGUUUUCAUAUGUCGAAAUUCUUUAGUCAUCUCACGCUUCAUGGUUAAUGCCAUUACUAUUAUUGGUGUACAUUUUCCAAUGUUUUCCAGUUUAGUGUAGAAUCUUCCUUCACAUAAGUGAUCUGACAUUUAAUAUUUAAUAAUUUAUAAACAGAAACCUUUCAUAGGUCCAUUUUUUCA